UUUUUCAGUAGUUUAAGACAUGCGAAUCGUUGUUUUCGACAUAUUACUUCUGUAAUAUUAGAAAAUAAGGUGUAGAGGUGAGUAUGUUAAAUAAGAUACCCUAUAGUCUUCAGAAAUAGGAGAUAAUGAAAGGAGAUACUUCUGCUAUAGGAUUCUAUUUAAUUUGAUUAGGUAGUUGGUAGGGUAAAGGCCUACCAAGCCAACGAUCGAAAGUCAUGUUUGAAAGAACCUCUGGCCACAUUGGGAAUGAAAUCUCCCAAGUAGUUUUACACUACCAGCAGUCAAGAAUAUUAGUCAAUGCUCGCAAGAGUGAACUAGCUAACUGAAAUCAUAGAGUUUAUUUAAACUCAUGAUGUCGUAAGGGAAAAUAAUGAUAAUACCUUACUAAUAGUGUCGUCCAAAUCUGGUGCCAGAAGACUCGGUAAGACCAGAGACGCAAACGUUAAUCAUCUUAAACAGGCGUAAAGGGUUUGUAGGCAGCUUUCAGAAGUACUAUAAUUAAGCAAAUAAAGUAGUCUAAUUGGAAGCUAGAAUCAAAUGGAGGUUAUAGUGUAUAACGCUUAGAGGAGGGCUGAUAUCCUUAGAUCCUAAGCAGAAUACUCAGGGCGAAGGCCACUUUCCACUAAUGAUUGACGCUGAGAAACGAAGGUUAGGGUAGGAAAUAGGAUUAGAUACCCCGGUACCCUUUCUGUAAACGAUGAAUGGUAGUCAUUAGUUUAGAAAAACUAGAGGCGAAGUUAACGCGAUAACCAUUCCGCCUUGUGAGUACUACUGCAAAGUAGAAAACAAAAAAAUUAGUCGGUCUCGAAGCAAACGGAGUGAAGCAUGUUGUUUAAUACGAUAAUCCGCGUAAAACCUUACCAGAACUUGCAUACAAACUUUUCUUUCCAAAAGAAAGGAAAGGAGUAUUUUGCCCCUCAAAGUACUUAAGUACAGGUGUUGCAUGGCUGUCUUCAGUUCGAGUUGUUAAACAUUAGGUUAAUUCCACUAACGAACGAAAUCCCUGUUAUUAAUUAAUUCUUAAUAACUAAUGAAUCUGAUAGAGAUUCAGUCGGGGCUAAGACAAGUCGUUAUGGCCCUCAUGUUCUGGGCUAUAGACGUGCCACAAACACUUUCACAAAGUGAUGCAAUACUUCCGAAAAGAAGUGGAGCUAAUCAUUAAAAAAAGUGAUCUAUAUGAAUCUUUGACGGAUUGUCUCCUGAAAUUCGGAGGCAUGAAGCAGGAAUUCCGAGUAAUCGUUGAUAAGUAGCGCAACGGUGAAGCUAGUUUCGUGAUGAACUAACUGUCUGUCGCUGGGAAGAAGCCUUUAGUGGAGGAAACUGGGGGUAGAUAAGUUUUUUUCAUAGUUUAGUUUACGAUUAAAAUUAUAUUAGUCUCUAAAACAACUAUGUUAAGCUUAUUGGCUUUAGUUAAUUCAUUGGG
rnacentral:rRNA from 1 species